UGGGGAAUAUUGCACAAUGGGCGCAAGCCUGAUGCAGCCAUGCCGCGUGUGUGAAGAAGGCCUUCGGGUUGUAAAGCACUUUCAGCGGGGAGGAAGGCGAUAAGGUUAAUAACCUUGUCGAUUGACGUUACCCGCAGAAGAAGCACCGGCUAACUCCGUGCCAGCAGCCGCGGUAAUACGGAGGGUGCAAGCGUUAAUCGGAAUUACUGUGCGUAAAGCGCACGCAGGCGGUCUGUCAAGUCGGAUGUGAAAUCCACGGGCUCAACCUGGGAACUGCAUUCGAAACUGGCAGGCUAGAGUCUUGUAGAGGGGGGUAGAAUUCCAGGUGUAGCGAUGAAAUGCGUAGAGAUCGGGAGGAAUACCGGUGGCGAAGGCGGCCCCCUGGACGAAGACUGACGCUCAGGUGCGAAAGCGUGGGGAGCAAACAGG
rnacentral:rRNA from 1 species